UCAGUAUGACAACAACCCCAGCUUCAGCCCCUGACAUCAACUCUGUGACCCAGGGAUAAGCUAGCCCUCCGCAGCCAAGAUGAGCACCAGCUCCUGGCUUUCCUGAGAUCCACACCCUAGGCCUAUAUACCAUUUUAUAAGCAUAGAGGACACCGUGAAAAUACUCGGACUCUUUGUUACUGGGAUUUGAUGGUCUGGAGUGAACGUGGCCGGAGAUGAGGAUGCUCGCAGGGACAAGCUCAUUCAUCCAUCCACCAGGCUCCUGGUGCUGCCAAGGUGUUGACAUUACAUCAAGACCCCAAUGAUCACUGGGGAUAAUAUCAGCUUGCUGCUCUGGGACAGAGAUCUCCUGUCAGUCUGGGACUUCCAACUUGCCUAUACCAGACACUGGCUCAUCCGCCACAAGUACCUCCAGUGCUCAGUGACAGUCACCGCCAGGGGAACAGACGUGAACAGUCACCAUGAACCUGAACGAGUGUGGAUCUACAAUCGCGUCCAGAGGCUUAGUCCUCAGCUUCUUGAUGCUGGGAGAUAGUAGGACCUGGAGGGCUAGUGGGACAUCUCAAGCCCAGUGGCUGUGCCCUUGAAGGAGCUUAUGGAGCUCAGUCCCUUCCUUUACUUCUUGCUCAGGGCCACAAGGUGGGCGCACACCCACUACCUCACACUGUCCUCCCCACAGGACAUAUGCAAUGGCCCCGAGUGUCUACAAGCUGAACCUCCAUACCUGGAAGCCACCAUGCAUUCCUCCCUCCACUUGUCACUAUGACAGAAACUAUUUACAGAGGAAAGAUUUAUUUCAGCUCAGGGUUUAGAGGUACCAUUUCUCGUGGCAGAGAAGGUAGGGUGCAUCAGAGCUUCUCACCUUAUGCCCAGGAAAUAGAAGUAUAAUAGGAAGGGGCCCUGGGUAAGUGUAGCCCUUAAGGAGCAUACCUCCUACAUCACUGCCUUCAUCCAUGGCUCACAUCCCAUCAUCCCACCACCCAACAGCUGAUUCAACUUACGACUCCAUCAAUAGGUUGGAUCACUGAUGAGGUCAGAGCCUAGACUGACCCAAAAGUGCACUUCACUAAUCCAGAGUGCAUGCACUUCACUAAUCUAGAAGCCUUUUCUCUUCCUACAUGUCUUUGCUGUUUCAUUUCCCCUCUCUGUGAUAAAAUUAGAGCAGAAGGGGCUUUCCCUGGGCUUGCAGUUCAGGGCUAUGAUCCAUCGCUUUGAAGGACAGGCUCAGGAACUUGACACAGCUUGCCAUCAUACAGGUGCAGUGAAGGAGUAGUAGAGUCAUAUGUGCAUCCUCUUGCUCAGUUCACAAUCUCUUUUUCAUCCAGUUCAGGGUCUAGCCCAUGAAAGGGUGCUGCCAAUACACAAUGUUGGUCUUAUACCUCCAUUAAACCAACUAAGAAAAAAAAAAUGGAUGUGCCCAUAGGCAAUCUCAUCUAGACAGUGAUUCAUUCUGACUCCCCGAUGGUUCUAGAUGGCCUCAGACUGAAGAUAAACACUAACCACCACAGUAGCUAUGCCCACGGACGUUGGCUAUAAUGAUGAAGCUGAGUAGUACACAGCCAUUGCCAUGAGCCUGCUGGCCACAUGGAGCAGCACAGACAGUGGCCCAUUCUAGGCUGCCCACUCCUCAUUGACUCUACACAGGAGACCAACAGACAGAGGUGGGCUAGAAAAGAAGGCAGAUGUUGGACUAGGAUGGACCUAUAUGUUUGAGUCAGCACAGUGAUAUAACAGCUCUGAGGCUUUGAACCCAUGACUCAUGUGAUGACCAGCUCAGAAGGAAGUGAGACUGGAGGGCACAGGUAAUACUGGCCAUGCAUAGGGGCAGGAGAAGGAUGCCAACGCAGCUAGCUGGGACAGCCCUCUUAGCUGCUCCUUCCUGAAUCUCUGCUCCAUGCCCGACUCUUCCAUCACUAUGCACAGGCAUCCGCAUGCUGCUCCAUAUGGGGGAGGUGAAGAUCCAACCCCCUGCACAUCCCCUGGUCCCUCACACUGUGUAGAUUUCACUUUUUCAUUUAUGUAUUUAAGCUUUCAAUAGCUAAAAAUGCCCCAUCGAGGUUUAGUAAAUCAGUAUUGAGUACAGUCA